CCCUUAGAUGUUCUGGGCCGCACACGCGCUACACUGAAGGAGGCAGCGUGUACUCCUGGAUCGAAAGAUUUGGGUAACCCGCGAAUCUCCUUCGUGCUAGGGAUUGAGGUUUGCAAUUAUCCUUCAUGAACGAGGAAUUCCCAGUAAGUGCAAGUCAUAAGCUUGCGCUGACUACGUCCCUGCCCUUUGUACACACCGCCCGUCGCUACUACCGAGUGAAUGAUUUAGUGAGGACUUCGGACUGGGACCGAUGCGGCUUUCGGGCUGCGUCGGUAUUCUGGAAAGAUGUCCAAACUGUAUCAUUUAGAGGAAGUAAAANUCGUAACA
rnacentral:rRNA from 1 species